CCUCUCUUUUUGUCCAUUUUCCACUCUUUUUCUCCUCCCAUAAAACCAAAUCAUUAUAUAUUCAUCAUUAUGUUCAUGAUAGCCCAAUACCCAUAUCUCUUCUCUCUCUAAGCUUGACAUUCUAUGGAGAUAAGAAGAAAGAAAGGAAGAAAUAACAGGAGAGAAAAUGGAAAGAAAGAUGGAGAAAAGAGAGAGUGGAAGCUUCUGCUUUGAGGGGAUUGUUGUCUGGCUCGAGGCCACCAACCAUCUUUGAUUUAUUCAAAUACUUUGAUCAGCUUCAACCCAUCUUCUCCUUCAAUUCAAUUCCACCCUCUGAUUAUGUGUUAGUGCCCUCGGACCAGGCUUCAUUCCCCUCAAUCACUGCUCCCCAAUCGGCCCAGAGGUUUGUUUUCGGUAUUUCUGGUGUUUUUUUUCUGAAUCCUUAGCUGAUUUUCAAUCUGUUGAUGGGUUUUUGUUCUCACACACAUUAGGGCUGUUAAUCACUUGCAGAUUGGUGCAAUGAUGAGAAGUUUUGACUGUGUUUUGAACUAGUUCUGACAGAUUUAGACAAAGUUUUCAUCAUUGCCUCUUUUCCUUUUAUUUUAUUCUAGCUUCAUUUUCAACUCUGGUUAUCAUGGCUGAAAUCUUCCCUGUCAGUCUCUCUAGACCUUUUGUUCUUCAUCAUUGAAAAGAUUUUUCUCAUCAUGGCUUCAAGUUCCUGAUCUUUCCAUCUGUGUUCUUCAUCUCCCUCGUUCAAUUUUCUUUCAUAUUUUCCGGGAAAGAUCUAUGUAAAGAGGGGAGGAAAAGGCUAGCUAGGCGACAAGAUCAAACUACUCUUAGACCCAUUAGACCCAUAUGUGAUUUUUAGUUUAAUUAAUGAUUUUUUUCCAAUAUUUCUUGUUCUUAGUGGGGGUAGUUGGAUUUGCAGACCUGUGAAAUCUCCACCCUCUUUUGCUUUACCAAAGUUUCACUGCUUAUUAAAAGUUGAAUUCUCUGCUGCUGCAGUGAAGAUUUCAAGGUGAAAGUGGGGAUAAAUUUUAUGUAGAAUUGAUUCUAUUUUAUUGGGAAUUUUCUCUUUAUUAUCAAUGAGGGUAUCUUUUUAUUCUAUCCCUUCAAUCUAAGUUCUAGGUAUCAUCCCAUUUUCAACUGAUUCAUCACUAAAAAACCCCAUCUCUCCUCAUUGAAAAUGGAUUGUCAUAGACCCAACAACAAAAAAAGUUCUCUUUUGGCCAUUUCCAUUAAAGAUCAUUCAGAGUUUGAAUUCUUGUUUAGAUCUUUUUGGGUAGUCUCUAUUUCAUUCUUUUGUAACGGAAAUCUUUUUGGGUGGGUUGAUCAUAUUCUUGGAGUUGGAGAUCAGACUCUCACUAUAUCUUGAAAUUUCUUGAGCUAAAAGCAAGGACAAUGGCUUUCUGAAGUCUGAUACAUUAGCUCCUUUUGCAUUGAUUCAACAACACCUUGUGUUCCCCCCUCCAUCACUUUCCCUGUGGUUCUGCAUGAUUUUUAUCAGAAAAAAUCAGAGUUCAGCUCAGGUGGCCGGUACAUAGAAAUGGACAAAGCAAACAGUGGCCUGGAAUGAUGGGAAGAGUCAUGGAUUUAACUCUAACAACUGUUCUGGGCUCUUGCUUCUGAAAACAUACUUGUCUUUUUGUUUUUGUUUUCAUUUUCUUUCUUUUCAAAUAUUUUUCAGAUAAUCAAACAUAUGGUAAGUUGGAGCUGUAUAUGGGUUUGUCAGUAUGUGAUACUGCAUUUGGACUCCACUAACUUCUGGUUUCAUGGGAUCUUUCUGUGAUUAUUAUCAUCUUCCACCUCUCUCUCUUGGUUUUUCUGUGCAGAAGUGUUGUUUGGAAGGCAAGAAACCAGGGUGAGAAAGAUGAAAAGGCUUUACAUGGAGUUUUGAAUUGAUACUACUGCAUAAAGCACUUGGAAUAGUUUUAUCUUCUGCCGGUGGUGGUGGGUGGCAGCCUGGCAGCUGUGCAGUGCACUGAACAAUAAGAGAAUAUUUAUAUAAUAUUGUAUAAUUUUAUUCAUACUGUUCAGGCUGCUUAUAAUCAUCUCCCACCAUAUGUAGAAAAUUAAUAUAAGCAAUACCCAUAUAUUUUGUUUUGAUUUGGAGCUAGUAUGACAACAUUACUGGUUUACUCAAUGGAGAGUAAUAGUCGUGAGUUCUUGUGCUAUAUGAUGUAGAUUAAGCUGGUUGAAGAAGUUUUUAGGUUAAAUUGAUAACUUGGCAUGGUA